rnacentral:rRNA from 1 species
AGAGCGAACGCUGGCGGCAGGCUUAACACAUGCAAGUCGAACGGAUCCUUCGGGAUUAGUGGCGGACGGGUGAGUAACACGUGGGAACGUGCCUUUUGGUUCGGAACAACUCAGGGAAACUUGAGCUAAUACCGGACGUGCCCUUCGGGGGAAAGAUUUAUCGCCAUUAGAGCGGCCCGCGUCUGAUUAGCUAGUUGGUGAGGUAAAGGCCCACCAAGGCUACGAUCAGUAGCUGGUCUGAGAGGAUGACCAGCCACAUUGGGACUGAGACACGGCCCAAACUCCUACGGGAGGCAGCAGUGGGGAAUCUUGCGCAAUGGGCGAAAGCCUGACGCAGCCAUGCCGCGUGAAUGAUGAAGGUCUUAGGAUUGUAAAAUUCUUUCACCGGGGACAUAAUGACGGUACCGGAGAAGAAGCCCGGCUAACUUCGCGCCAGCAGCCGC